UCUUGACAGAAAUUCAAUCUGGUCCACAGAAAUUAGUUCCAGCACACAUGAAAAUAACAAACAAAAAGGAGAAAGUAAGACAAGUGUAGCCUAAAUCAGCACGGCUUGUCCAAAUCUGCAACAGUUAUUGUCAUGGGAUGUGCUGGGUUUGUGUCUGUGGUGGGGGUUUUUGGUAGCAGGGGAGAGGGCUACAGCAGUGGCCCCCUGUGAGAAGCUUCU